AUUGAACGCUGGCGGCAGGCCUAACACAUGCAAGUCGAAUGGUAACAGGAAACAGCUUGCUGUUUCGCUGACGAGUGGCGGACGGGUGAGUAAUGUCUGGGAAACUGCCUGAUGGAGGGGGAUAACUACUGGAAACGGUAGCUAAUACCGCAUAACGUCGCAAGACCAAAGAGGGGGACCUUCGGGCCUCUUGCCAUCAGAUGUGCCCAGAUGGGAUUAGCUAGUAGGUGGGGUAACGGCUCACCUAGGCGACGAUCCCUAGCUGGUCUGAGAGGAUGACCAGCCACACUGGAACUGAGACACGGUCCAAACUCCUACGGGAGGCAGCAGUGGGGAAUAUUGCACAAUGGGCGCAAGCCUGAUGCAGCCAUGCCGCGUGUAUGAAGAAGGCCUUCGGGUUGUAAAGUACUUUCAGCGGGGAGGAAGGGAGUAAAGUUAAUACCUUUGCUCAUUGACGUUACCCGCAGAAGAAGCACCGGCUAACUCCGUG
rnacentral:rRNA from 1 species